AUGGCUUCGCCUACCAUCGUUCGCCUUCGGCAUCACACCGAAUCCACACUGGCCGCAACCAGGACGCUCCACGAGAACAUGGACAUAACUCACGAAACACCGUGCACACUGCAUCCACUCCAACGAAUCAUCACCAAUACGAGCACUUGGACACGACGACGACUCACAGAGGCAACGACAACUGACCGUGCAAACUCGCACGACUCCUUGACUCAUCCGACUCCCCGGAUGACGAUCUUGAUGAGCUCCAGCACCGCACCUCGGCACCACCUCGCACAUCAACGAUCUCCUUCCGCCACCUUGCUGACGACAACCUGUCGUCUCCCUCCUUUUGUCGCUUCACCGAGCGACGAUCGCCUGAUCCUCCUCAUCGUUGCAUCACCUAGCGACAACAUCGCCCGCUCGUCGCUGCACGACCCAGCGACCAUAUCGCCCGCCCCGAGGCGCUAG
rnacentral:rRNA from 1 species